rnacentral:lncRNA from 1 species
CUGACCACACACUUCUAGGCUACACACUUUUCAUUUUGGCUUUGCUUGUAUGAACUCUCUCUUGAGAGUUUGGGUGUGCCUCGGUUUUGGACCAUUGAAUGAACAACAAGGAUGCAUUUUUCUUCUCUCUGCUUGAAUCUUGUUUAUCUUUGCUUGGUGGAAGUGAGAACCGUCACUCAUUUCCCUUCAUUUCUUCUUGAAAGUUGAGAGCAUGAGCUUGGAGGGUUGUUCUUGCAUUUUCAUGGUGGUUCCUUGGAUUGAAUGAAGGCUCAUUUUCCGUUUUGC